UAUCACUCAUGACAUACUUGAAAUAACAAAAUUACAUACAAUAACGCAAGUUUAAAAACCGUUUGACCGAGCCGAAAUAAUAAAGAAUUUCAUAUACCACUAAAUGGUCCUGAACUUGAUGACUUUAUGUUUAUGGUGCACUUACAUUUAAUACCAAACAAUUUUUUCCCGGAUUUCAUUCUGAUGUACUUAGAUAAAUUGGCCCGUUAUAGUGGACCUGUGUUGGGCCUCUAGGCCCAAUUUACCGCCCCUCGGGAAUGGCUUUUCCUCCAUGGCAUAGAAUGAAAGAGAAGUAAACAGUAAACACAGAAAGAUGCAGGCAAAACACACUUGACCUGAGCGGCAAAUCGUCGAACACUUGAGCUGCAUAAAAAUUGAAAGUUGAAAUACCUCUCUAGCUCAUGGCGCCUUCAGCUUAGAGGAAAGCAAAACAGCUCUUACAUCUGAUUCCGGAGCUCCGAUCUCACCAUGUUCGGAACUCCGUCCUCAACACCGGCCUUCGGAACUCCGUCUUCCACACCGGCCUUCGGGACUCCGUCUUCCACUCCAGCAUUCAGCACUCCGUCUUCUACUCCGGCGUUCGGAACACCGGGAUUCGGAACUCCGGGGUCGAAUUCGUUGUUCGGAGCUCCGUCUUCAACUCCGGCGUUCGGUAC
rnacentral:lncRNA from 1 species